rnacentral:misc_RNA from 1 species
GCGGCGGAUCCCUUCCUUUCUGGAGAUUCGGCAGUCUCUUCGGAGACUGUCCAUUCUCGGUCAAUGUCACGACUGUUGGUUUGCGCUCCAAUAACGGAGGGAGCGCACGAACUUGGUUGCUACUCGGCUUUGAGGGCCCGACGCACCCUUGCAUUUGGAGGUGCGACUGAAGUACGAGAACGAAAGGGGCCAGUAGCUCAGUUGGUUAGAGCACACGCUUGAUAAGCGUGGGGUCGAAAGUUCAAAUCUUUCCUGGCCCACUCUAGCUGGCUAACUCCAAUCCCCACAGCUUCGCGGAGCGUUAGCUCAGCUGGGAGAGCACCGGCUUUGCAAGCCGGGGGUCGAGGGUUCGAACCCCUUACGCUCCACCCAACACUGCGGCUCUUGACGAAGUAUGUGAAUCCAAAUAGGAUUCACGCCCUUCGCCGCGAGUCGAAUACGACCAAGCGGAUCCAGCUCUUUGACAAUCCAAUAGAGAACGACGACGCGAAAGCGUGUCUUGAGUACUGAAUCAUUCCGAGUCGCAAGCUCGGACGAUUUAGCAAUCAAGCGUCAAAGGACUAUGAGUGAUUGCAACAACGAAUCACUCGACCUUGUAGACGGCGUAUCGCGACAGAGAAAGUAGCGAUGCACUAACUGUUUUUAAAGGUUGGUGAUCAAGCUACUAAGGGCGCACGGUGAAUGCCUUGGCGUCAGGAGGCGAUGAAGGACGUGGUUAGCUGCGAAAAGCUUCGGGGAGUCGCAAGCAGGCGUCGAUCCGGAGAUAUCCGAAUGGGGAAACCCGG